UAAAAAGAGACUAAAGAACCCUAAAGGUUCUCUACGCCGCUUCGAUGAAACGUCGUCCUCAGGGGCCCUCGAACCUCGCCCAAACUCCGAUGACGACGGAGAGAGCGGAGGUCCAGCCACAAGGUACGUUUCCCCUUCCCUUUUCUGCUACUACUUCUUUUUUAAUAAACAAUCAAUAGAAUAUAAAACGAAAAGAAGAACUGCGGAUAAGAGAAAGAAUAGAACCCAGAAAAGAUCACCUCUUGGUAUUCUGAUUUUUUUAUUGAAUCCGUGUCCAAAAAACUACAAAGAGAUUUUCCUUUUCUUUUAUAGCCGAAAAAGGAAAAUAAAAUAAUAAUAAAAAUACAAUAUGUUGUCCUUUUCUUUUUGCGGAGCUGUGUUCGUUUGUGUUGGCAGGUGUACGGAGCAGUGGACGUGGCUGGGGUGACGUGGCGCGGAGCGUACAGAGGCUAGUCAUGGAAGGCUUGGCUGCAGCGCCUAGAUCUUCUAGGGUUCCUUGCUGUUAAUUUUUGUUUUCUGCAAUCGGGUUGGGGAUUUGGGCUGUAAUGGGUUUGUAAUUUGGGUCAUGCUUAGGUUUGAAUUUGGGCUUCUGUUAAUUGGACUGUUUAAUAAAUUGUGGUAUUUGAUUUUUUUAUUAUCUAUUGGGCCGGGAAAUAUUGGGCCAUUACAAAAGCGAUAUUCUUUCUCUUUUUUAUUAUUUGAGAUAUUUCUUUAGAGCCCUUGCUUUAUUUAAAAAUAUAAAUGAC
rnacentral:lncRNA from 1 species